AAUCAACGCUGGCGGCGUGCCUCAGACAUGCAAGUCGAACGCGAAAGGCCCCUUCGGGGGCCCGGUAGAGUGGCGCACGGGUGAGUAACACGUAGGUAAUUUGCCUUCGGGUGGGGAAUAACAGCCGGAAACGGCUGCUAAUACCGCAUAAUGCAGCGGCUCGACAUCGAGACAGUUGUUAAAGCGGGGGAUCGCAAGACCUCGCGCCUGAAGAGAAGCCUGCGGCAGAUAGCUUGUUGGUGAGGUAAUGGCUCACCAAGGCGACGAUCUGUAACCGGCCUGAGAGGGCGGUCGGUCACACUGACACUGACAUACGGGUCAGACUCCU
rnacentral:rRNA from 1 species